GCUGUUAAAAGUAAAGGUCAGUGAAGAUGGCAGCAGCACAGAAGAGAGAUUGCAGUAUGAAGGUCUCCUUGCUAUGUCAAUGAAUAUGUAUCUGGAGAUGUUUCCCCAGGCCUCUGCUGAAAUUGAGUACCUCAUGACCCAGAUGGACUUUCCCAAUAACCAAAUGCCAAAUAAAAAAAUAACUAAAUAAAAAAAAAAAAAACUCCUUUGACAAAGAACAUCAAAGAACAUGCCAAGAAAAUCAAAUGGAAACCUACUUUGUCAGACCACCUCAAAAUAUCAGAAGAAAAGCUUUCCUCAGACUAUCUCCAACAGAACUUGAAGAAUUUACCACUACAAGUAAAUUUAACAGAAAAUCCUAUGGACUUUAAACAAAAAAAAGCAAAAAGAGGGUAUGUAAAGAAAUAUCUGAAGUUUUUUUUUCACAAUGCAAUGAAUAAAAACAGCAUCCAUGUUUUA